UCCCACAUAGCUCAGUCAGUAAAGAAUCAGUCUGCAAUGCAGGAGACCCAGGUUUGAUUCCUGGCUUGGGAA
rnacentral:tRNA from 1 species